rnacentral:lncRNA from 1 species
CUUUCUUCCUGACUAUAAAUACAGAUCGACGAGGAGGCCUGAGUGGCGGGACUCUCCAUUCGCUGCUAGUCCACCCGAGCAGAAAUCCAUCGAAAGAGCACCCCAGACUCUCAUACGUGCAAACCUUCCCCUGAUUCUCCUAAGCAUAGGCCCUAACACAUACGCACGUACUGCUGCUGCUUCUCUCGGUAAGUUCACAAAAGCAAGAACAUCCGUGAGAGAGUAGAAGAGAGAUAUCAAGGAGGAACUUGGUGCUUCAAAGAGGUGAGAAGGUAGAAAAUCAUGUCAUCCCUCUGCCCUUAGGUUUGUCCUUUUGGUUCAAGUCAAGGAGCAUUCUCAUCUUCCUCAUGUCAGGUCCUUCGUUUCGGUCUUUUAGUUCAAAUCAAGGAAUAUAUAUUUUCAUAGUUUCUUCAUGAUACCAUGCCCUUAGGUUCGGUCUUUUGGUUCGGAUCAAGGAAAUUUGCAUAGUCCCAUGUCAUAUAUUUUGCAUACCUUCGUUUUGGCCUUCGCGGUUCAGGACAAGGAUCAUAUAUUUGCACACCUUCGUUUUGGCCUUCGCGGUUCAGGAUAAGGAUCAUAUAUUUUGCAGACCUUCGUUUUGGCCUUCGCGGUUCAGGACAAGGAUCAUAUAUUUGCACACCUUCGUUUUGGCCUUCGCGGUUCAGCACAAGGAUCAUAUAUUUGCACACCUUCGUUUUGGCCUUCGCGGUUCAGCACAAGGAUCAUAUAUUUGCACACCUUCGUUUUGGCCUUCGCGGUUCAGCACAAGGAUCAUAUAUUUGCACACCUUCGUUUUGGCCUUCGCGGUUCAGCACAAGGAUCAUAUAUUUGCACACCUUCGUUUUGGCCUU